ensembl:lncRNA MUC20-OT1 MUC20 overlapping transcript
AACCUUUGCUGUCUUGGGACGGAUCACCGCUGCAAGAGGGGAAGUUGCUACUGUGAUGAAUUCUGCCAUGUGGCACCAGACUGCCACCCAGACCACAGUGUCCUCUGCAACCCUGGUCAAAGGUGCCUACAUGCUCCUUCUAGCUUUGUUUCCCUGAUGUUCCUUGCCACCUGCUACUCCUCUCUGAGCUACUUUUCCAGCUUCUCAGAUGACCAAGAUGGUGCUGCAGAUGGUGCUGAGGAUGGAGAACCCACCAAGCCCCGCUAGGAGCCACCUAGACUGGAUGCAGAGCAUGGCUAAAACCUUUGAAGAAGAAUUUAUUAUAUCCUACAAACCUGGGAGGCAGAGGUUGCAGUGAGCCAAGAUUGGGCCAUCGCACUCCAGCCUGGGCAAUAAGAAUGAAACUCUGUCUCAAAAAAAACAAAAGUUGGCCAGGGCUGGGCGUGGUGGCUCACACCUGUAAUCCCAGCACUUUGGGAGGCUAAAGCAGGUGGAUCACCUGAGGUCAGAAGUACGAGACCAUCGUGGCUAAUAUGGUGAAACCCCAUCUCUACUCAAAAUACGAAAAAAGAAAAAAAAAAU